rnacentral:tRNA from 1 species
AGUAAGAUCAGCUAAUUAAAGCUUUUGGGCCCAUACCCCAAAAAUGUGGGUUAAAAUCCUUCUCUUACCA